CCCCGCCUCAUAGCGGAAAGAUUUCCCCUGCCGCUGCCUCCGGGCCAGUGGAGGCGAGGAAGUUUUUCUCUGGUCUCCCGGCCGCAACGCGGCCCGUUCCCUAGGAAGCCCCUUGCGCCCCGAGAGAGCCUGAGAUGCUUGGGUUCGGGGCUCUGGAUGGUUCGGGCUCCCUCCUACCGCCGCACCCGCGGUGGGUGCCGACUCUCCGCGAGCUGGCACCGCCCUCCUGACCUGGAAUGGGCGGGGCCUGGGGGCGCGUCACGGUUUCCCCGGUGACGGACGCGCUGAAGGGGUGGGGCUGGAGUCCCGGUUCCCACUGCCCAGCUCCCGGAGGCCGUGAUCGGGAACCGUGGCCCCAGAAGGUCUGGCGGAAGCGAGACCAGAGAAGAGACAGCGCCGGAGACCGGGGGAUCUGGAUCCGGUCUGAGGCUGGGGCCACGCGUCGGAGGGCGGCAGUGCGCGUGGGCCAUGCCUGGGGAUUCCCGGUCGCUGUGGGAGCUGGUGGAGGAGCACGUGCCACUCCCGGAGCGGUCCGAAGUGAAGAUGAUCUUGGGGGAGGCGGCGGUGGACCUGAGCCUGGAGCUGCGGGCGGAGGUGGGACUGGGAAGGUGGGCCACACCUCAGAUCUGCCCUCGGCCCGGAUAACUUACCUAUCUCUUCUGGGUCCCGAGUCCUGCACCGGUACUCCCCAGACGUCGGAUCUCACUGCCCGCCUUUGCCCUCUGCCCAUUGACAUUCACCUACCCCGCCCCCCACACACACACACCCCACCUCCCUCACUCCCCAGUUGCAAGGUGUCCCAGCUCUCCUUGCAGGUGAUGUUGCUGCAGACACUGCUCCGAGAGGCUCGAUCCUCCCAAGCCGCUGACUCCUGCCCCACCUCUGACCCCUGUUCCCUUCUGGCACCAUCACCCCCCCUAAGGGACCUCAUACGCCAGGAACUCCGGCAGCUGCUCCAAGCACUGCGCCAUAAGGCCAUCUGUGAGGGCAGGGACCAGGCCCAGGCUUGGGCCAAAUAUAGCCACAGGGUCCUGCGCUUUGCCUUGGGGAAGUCCAGGAGUGAUUUGCCAGAGCAGGAGAUAUUCCGGAUGAGAGCAGGUGAACAAAGGGGAAGUAGCAAUUGCGUACUGAAGGCCUGGGGUGACGCAAGACGAGGAGAGUGAUGUUGACUUCAUCUGCCAGCAGCAGGCACAGGGACCUCAGUGACAUCAAGGACCAACUGAACGUGUCCGACAUCGACCGGGUUGCUGGGCACCUGCGGUGAGGCCCAGGGGUACCUCAGUGGUGGAGAUGGGGAGGAUGGGAGUCACGGUGGAUCUUGAAGCACUGGGACCAUGAGAUAGCAGAAAGCUGGAGGCGUACUUGGUGGGGAGUCCCAUGGGUGUAAGGCUAAGAGGUGGACCUUGCAUGCAGCUGUGGAGCCCAUUGGUGAGGUUGGUACCAGGAAGUAGGCCCUAGGGUUUUUAUUCUGACACAGUGGGGAGCCACAGAAGGGUUUUAAGCAAGGGAAGGGCUGUGGCCUGGAGGAGAAUGGAGGCAGGAACAGUUGCAGGUUCAGCACAAUUGUGCAGACGGAGGAUGGAGCCUGCCGGGGUAGGGUUGUGAGGUAGCAAGGAAAGGACACACCCUGCCCAGGAAGAAGCUGGUGGGAGCCAGAAGGCUGUAUGGUGGCAGUACCCAGGCAGCAGGGGGCCAUGGGACUGAGAAAGGAGGGGCUGGAGGGGGCUUCUGGUGAGGCUGCAGAUUGGGGCUGUGUGGAGGGCAAGGCUUCUCUGCUCAGCUGAGAAACAGCCCAUGGCACUGCUUCUGGCUGUCCCACCCCCUCAUAUCCCAGAGGCCUCCUGGAGGAGGAGUGUCACACCUUGGAGAGGAAGAUCUCCAUCCUGCAGGUGAGUUGCAGCCUGGGCCUCACCCCGGAGCCUUUCUGCUGAGCAUAGACACACAUGCAUCUCACCUGGGUGUAUGAGGUUCGUGGACAUGGGUGCAAUGGAAAAGUUGUGUGAGUCCUGUGUCCAUUUCUCAUGUGUGCACACUUGUGUGUGUGUGUGACUCCUGGAAGCCCAGGAUUCUGGUUGAGCCCCAAGUCCAGAGCCAGCUGUUUUAACCUGUUGGAUUCCCCCCAGGUCUUUGGCCUCCUUCACUUAGCUGAGUCCAUGUAUGCGACCAGCCACAAGCUCGCUGAACUCGAGCUCGGCUUUUCAGUGGGGCUGGUGUUCCCCAGUGGGGGCUGCCCUCAUGGUGGUUGGGAUGAGGGGGCUGUGUGGGCUUGUGCCCCAAGGCUGCCCUCCUUGUGUCCUGGGCCAUGCCCUAGGGAUCUUGGCCUGUGUACCCACCCCUGUCUUAAGGCUGGGCACUGACCCAGCUCUGCCUGCAGCGCUGCCUGGAAGAGGAGUACACACAGGCUCCCCAGCCCUCCGAGGCAACCCCAGAGCCCACCUUGGAAGAACUAAAGGAGCAAAAG